rnacentral:rRNA from 1 species
GUUUCCUACGGGGCGCAGCAGUAGGGAAUAUUGCUCAAUGGGGGAAACCCUGAAGCAGCCAAGUCGCGUGAGGGAUGACGGUCCUAUGGAUUGUAAACCUCUUUUGUCGGGGAGCAAGGCCCGCCACGUGUGGCGGGAAGGAGAGUACCCGAAGAAAAAGCAUCGGCUAACUCCGUGCCAGCAGCCGCGGUAAUACGGAGGAUGCGAGCGUUAUCCGGAUUUAUUGGGGUUAAAGGGUGCGUAGGCGGAAGGUUAAGUCAGCGGUCAAAUGUCGGUGCUCAACACCGGCCUGCCGUUGAAACUGG